rnacentral:lncRNA from 10 species
GGAAGCGGUCGUUGCCAUGGAUCCUGGGGACGACUGGCUGGUGGAAUCCUUGCGCUUGUAAAUCGUACCAGGAUUUCUAUGCAUUCGACCUGUCAGGAGCCACUCGAGUCCUUGAAUGGAUUGAUGACAAAGGUGGUAUACCUUUCUAGCCCUGAAGGAGAGGGAAUCUCACUCCUGAGCUGGGUUUCAGGAGCUAAGCCUAGAGGGACCCAACCCACUCUUCUGGGCACCUGAGAGUCACUUGUAGCAAUUUGAUGCCCCAUCAGCACUAAUAUUCCUCUUAUUAAGAUCUCUGACCGGGAGCAGUGGUUCACGCCUGUAAUCCCAGCACUUUGGGAGGCCGAGGCAGGCGGAUCACCUGAGGUCAGGAGUUCGAGACCAGUCUGGCCAACAUGGUGAAACCCCGUCUCUACUGAAAAUACAAAAAUUAGCCGGACGAGGUGGUGCACACCUGUGUACCAGCAGCUACUGGGGAGGCUGAGGCAGGAGAAUCACUUGAACCCAGGAGGUGGAGGUUGCAGUGAGCUGAGAUCACGACACUGUAUUCCAGCGUGGCUAACAAAAAAAGUCUUCAGGCUGGGC